AGGCCUUCGGGCAGCCCCGAAGUGAAGGAGCGCAGCUGGGCGCCCAGCAGUCCGGGAGGUGGGGCGGCUUGCGACCGCCCUGUUGAUCCCGUCCCUGCUUCCUUAAAGAAUGACUGAUGGCGAGUUCUCUAGCCUCGAAACCACUCUCUCAGCAAGCCCUUUCCUUCCAAAGACGCCCGGAACCCGCGGAGGAGGGGGGAGGAAGGUGGAGAGUCGGUGGGGGGAGGGAGGGAGGAAGAGGAAUGAAUUGCAUUGGCCCGUCGCCUCCGCAGCGGAAGAUGCUGACACCCUCCGUCCAGCCCCCUCCCCGGGGGCCCUGCGUCCCCCUUCCCCCUGCCAGGCUGCAAACACACAAGCACACAGACCCGCACACUAGAACAUAAACAAGGAUAUUUCAUUUCUUCCUUUUAAUUUUUUUUGCACACUAAUAAAUAAACUACUGCAACAACAACAGAAAAGGCAAGCGGAAUCCAAAUACCCUCUCGGUUGCCAUUUGGUUAUAUAAGAAGGACGAAUUAAGGCGAGCUGGCGGUAAAGAGUCGCUCCAAAUCCAAGCCCCUGCACCGGCCUUAAAUCAAAAGGGAAAAAGUGGGGCAGAGUUCUGCCAGCAGCAAACAUGAUCUGCUUCUGGGGAUUGGACUGUCACAGGUCACAGAACUCGGCCCAGCUAAAAGUCCGCAGCCCCUGCACACCUCCGGGAACCCUUAUUCGUUGUUGUUUUGCAGGGAUGGGCUCCAGGCAGCUUCCUUUGUAAGGUGCCCCCCACCCCCAGCCCGCGGGUCGAGCUUCUGGGGCAGGGAGCAAACACCCGCCCCAAGGGACUGGACCACCGGCGUCCCCUUGCCCAAGAAUUUAGGAUUGGGAUGGAGAAAAAGAAAACAGUGUUUAUGAAGAGCCAGAAAGCGUUCUGUGGAUUUUAAAACCCAAGGACGCGUGCUCAGAAUCAUGGCCGCUUCACCCAAGAAUGGGCAUGACCUGAGGCCUGGCAUCCAUGGAGCCAUCCUAAGGGCUGCCUCUCCUCACCUGGGCAGGAUGGUCCCACCUGCAAUAUACAGAGCUUGGCCAUGCUCUGCCUGGAGGCAAAACCACAGGGACCUGUUUCAGGAGGACUGGCAAAGACUCAUCCCACCCUUACUUCUCUGGAAGUCAUGAUCGUGAUGCUGUGGUAGUAUUGCCCUCACCUCUUCUUCAAACAGUCUCUGCAACCUUCUCCCAUCAGCCAGAAUCAUAACAGCAGCAGCAAUCAACAUUUACCGACUGCUAAUUACAUGCCAGGCACCUGGCUAAGCCCUUUUUAUGUAUGUAUUUAAUCCUCAUGACCCAAUGAAGCAGGUAACAGUAGUGUCCCCCAUUUUUAUAACUGAGGAAGCUGAGGCACUGAAAGAUUAAGUCACGUGCUCAAAGUCACACAGCCUUAAAGUAGCCUAACCAGGAGUUAAGUCCAGACAGCCUAGUUUCCGAGUUCAGCUGUGAACCACGACACUGUGAUGGGAAAGAUAAUGGUUAUAAAUUGAUGUGUAACAAAUUACUCCAAAACGUGGCAGGUUAAAACAAUGAACAAUUAUCACACAUGUCUUCUGAGGGUCAGGAAUCUGGAUGCUCAGGAGGGCUUAUGGGGAAGGCUACCGUCAAGCUGGCAGCCAGGGCUGUAGUCUCCCAAGACUUGACUGGGCCUACAGGAUCUGCUUCUGACCUCAUUCAUGUGGCUGUUGGCAAGAGGCCUCAGUGCCUUGACACGUGGGCCUCUCUAUGGGGCUGCUCCGGACAAGCGUUCCUGCAGCCCGAGGGAUGAGGGGAAGAGAGAGAGAGAUUGAGAGAUGAGCCACCCUGCCUUUUAUGACCUACUCUCCUGGUCACCCAUCAUCAUUUCUGCCUUAUUCUACUCAUUAAGUCCAACCCACACUCAACAGGAGGGCUUACACAAAGGCAUGAACACCAGAAAGCACCAGGAAGCAGCGAUCACUGGAGGCCAUCUUGGAGGCUGCUACCACAGGUGUGAAGAGGAGCUAAACAAAAGGACCAUGCCCCCAGAAAAACCUAAAACCUGCUCUAGAAGUGACGGCAAAGAGCUAGCAUGCAGAGAUUAGAAGCAAAGGAUUAUAUGUACACAUAGUACCAGGGACGCUUCUGAAAAACUUAGUGAAAAAAGAAACAGGGUGAAUUAUAGAACACAAUACCAUUGAUGUAAUUUCAAAAUAUAUGCAUACAGGUGCCAUUCAUCUCAAUUGCAAAAACAGGAACCCUAAUUGAUGCUGUUAGAAGUCUGGACAAAUUGCCCUUGGAGAGGAGCUUCUGGAACACUCAUCAUGUUGUCUUUUUUGGGAUGGGAGCUAGUUACACAGCUCUACUCAUUUUAUGGGAAUUCAUCCAGCUGUGCACUUAUGAUGUGCGUGUUUUCCAUAUGUCUGUUACAUGGCUAUACAAUUUACAUUAAAACCAAAAA